AGGGGUAUAGUUCAGUUGGUAGAACGUUGGUCUCCAAAACCAAAUGUCGAGAGUUCGAGUCUUUCUGCCCCUG
rnacentral:tRNA from 1 species